CUUUCCCUCUGGCGUCAGGCCUAACACAUGCAAGUCGAGCGGAUGAAGGGAGCUUGCUCCUGGAUUCAGCGGCGGACGGGUGAGUAAUGCCUAGGAAUCUGCCUGGUAGUGGGGGAUAACGUCCGGAAACGGGCGCUAAUACCGCAUACGUCCUGAGGGAGAAAGUGGGGGAUCUUCGGACCUCACGCUAUCAGAUGAGCCUAGGUCGGAUUAGCUAGUUGGUGGGGUAAAGGCCUACCAAGGCGACGAUCCGUAACUGGUCUGAGAGGAUGAUCAGUCACACUGGAACUGAGACACGGUCCAGACUCCUACGGGAGGCAGCAGUGGGGAAUAUUGGACAAUGGGCGAAAGCCUGAUCCAGCCAUGCCGCGUGUGUGAAGAAGGUCUUCGGAUUGUAAAGCACUUUAAGUUGGGAGGAAGGGCAGUAAGUUAAUACCUUGCUGUUUUGACGUUACCAACAGAAUAAGCACCGGCUAACUUCGUG
rnacentral:rRNA from 1 species